rnacentral:rRNA from 1 species
CCAGCCCGCUCAGAAACUCAAAGGAAGUUGACGGGGGAGCACCACAACGGGUGGAGCCUGCGGUUUAAUUGGAUUCAACGCCGGACAACUCACCGGAUACGACAGCGGAAUGAUAGCCGGGCUGAAGACUCUGCUUGACUAGCUGAGAGGAGGUGCAUGGCCGUCGUCAGUUCGUACUGUGAAGCAUCCUGUUAAGUCAGGCAACGAGCGAGACCCACGCCAACAGUUGCCAGCAUGAUCUCCGGAUUGAUGGGGACACUGUUGGGACCGCCUCUGCUAAAGGGGAGGAAGGAAUGGGCAACGGUAGGUCAGCAUGCCCCGAAUUAUCCGGGCUACACGCGGGCUACAAUGGAUGGGACAAUGGGUUUCGACACCGAAAGGUGAAGGUAAUCUCCUAACCCCACCCGUAGUUCGGAUUGCGGGCUGCAACUCGCCCGCAUGAAGCUGGAAUCCGUAGUAAUCGCGUCUCACGAUGGCGCGGUGAAUAUGUCCCUGCUCCUU